GACGAACGCUGGCGGCGUGCUUAACACAUGCAAGUCGAACGGAAAGGCGCUGCUUUUGUUGGGUGCUCGAGUGGCGAACGGGUGAGUAACACGUGAGUAACCUGCCCUUGACUUUGGGAUAACUUCAGGGAACUGGGGCUAAUACCGGAUAGGAGCUCCUGCUGCAUGGUGGGGGUUGGAAAGGUUCGGCGGUUGGGGAUGGACUCGCGGCUUAUCAGCUUGUUGGUGGGGUAGGGGCUUACGAAGGCUUUGACGGGUAGCCGGCCUGGGAGGGUGACCGGCCACAUUGGGACUGAGAUACGGCGCAGACUCCUACGGGAGGCAGCAGUGGGGAAUAUUGCACAAUGGGCGGAAGCCUGAUGCAGCAGCGCCGUGUGCGGGAUGACCGCCUUCGGGUUGUAAACCGCUUUCGCCUGUGACGAAGCGUGAGUGACGGUAAUGGGUAAAGAAGCACCGGCUAACUACGUG
rnacentral:rRNA from 1 species